GACGAACGCUGGCGGCGUGCUUAACACAUGCAAGUCGAACGAAGAGCGACGGAAGCUUGCUUCUAUCAAUCUUAGUGGCGAACGGGUGAGUAACGCGUAAUCAACCUGCCCUUCAGAGGGGGACAACAGUUGGAAACGACUGCUAAUACCGCAUACGAUCUAAUCUCGGCAUCGAGGAUGGAUGAAAGGUGGCCUCUACAUGUAAGCUAUCACUGAAGGAGGGGAUUGCGUCUGAUUAGCUAGUUGGAGGGGUAACGGCCCACCAAGGCGAUGAUCAGUAGCCGGUCUGAGAGGAUGAACGGCCACAUUGGGACUGAGACACGGCCCAGACUCCUACGGGAGGCAGCAGUGGGGAAUCUUCCGCAAUGGACGAAAGUCUGACGGAGCAACGCCGCGGGAGGGAUGACGGCCUUCGGGUUGUAAAGCUCUGUUAAUCGGGACGAAAGGCCUUCUUGCGAAUAGUGAGAAGGAUUGACGGUACCGGAAGAGAAAGCCACGGCUAACUACGUG
rnacentral:rRNA from 1 species